AUGAAAGAUAUAGAUAAUCUUGAAAGUAUCAAAAAAGAAUGGAUCUGUGAAACAGGAUCUGACAACCACUCUCUUAGUGAUAAUCUACAAACAAAUUGAAUAUUUUGUUAACAGCCAUUGAAAGAAGCUCAGAAGAUUGGUGCUAACUGCUUGUCAUCCACGGAAAAGAACAGGUAAAUGUCAGUAUAAAAGAUUAUGGAAAAAUGAAUUCUAAGAGUCUAAUGAUUUCAGAAGUUAUUCUGAUGACUCAAGUCAGCGGUUUCUGAACUCCAUCAAAAAGAGGAAUUACCUUUAGAGUUACAUGGGAUUUUUGAUUAAGAAGAGGUGGAUAUUAAGGCUGAAGAUGAGGAACAUGAAGUAGGUAUGUCAAUGAAGCCUAUAUUGCAGCCCUUCUCAGGACAGGAUCACAGACUGAAAAGCACCACACCAAAAAUUUUUCUAAAGCAAAGAGUAUUGAGGAUGAGAAUAAAGAUACUCUGUCUGUUGUCCCACUAAAUAGUCUGGAACACUUCACUAAAAUACAAAUCUUGUUAGCCAAUUAGAAAAAGAUCAUCUAGAAAUUUCAUAUUUCCCACAGGGUAAGCCACAUCAAAUACUUCAUUGGAAAAUACCAAGGAUCUCAAAGAAGUUCUCCCUUCCUCUGGCAGCAGCAUUUCCUUUCCUCAAGUUACUACAUGAAACAUUCACAUUGGAAGAAGCAGAUUUGCACAAGGCUGCAAUCACCCGGAGACUCCAAAAAGAGAGCUAA